rnacentral:lncRNA from 1 species
ACCUUCCCUCGUGAAGUUCAGGUAUGGGGAAGGAACUGUGUGCGUGCGUGGGUUGUUUAAGUGUUUCGUUCGUUAAUAAAAAUCCCCUUCAUAUCCAUUUCAGGUAUUUUUCUCUUUACUCUCUCAUUUCAAUUCUAUCUUUUGCAUACAUUGAGGACAAUGCAUGAUUUAGGUAUGGGGAGGGCUUUAGUGUAAUUCU